AUCUUCUUUGAAGGUAUGCUUAAGGAGGGGCUUGCGACACAUUAGUUAGUUGGCAGGGUAAAGGCCUACCAAGACUAUGAUGUGUAGCUGGACUGAGAGGUUGAACAGCCACAUUGGGACUGAGACACGGCCCAAACUCCUACGGGAGGCAGCAGUAGGGAAUUUUCGGCAAUGGAGGAAACUCUGACCGAGCAACGCCGCGUGAACGAUGAAGUACCUCGGUAUGUAAAGUUCUUUUAUUAAGGAAGAAAAAAGAGUGGAAAAACUCCCUUGACGGUACUUAAUGAAUAAGCCCCGGCUAAUUAUGUGCCAGCAGCCGCGGUAAUACAUAAGGGGCGAGCGUUAUCCGGAAUUAUUGGGCGUAAAGGGUGCGUAGGCGGUUUAAUAAGUCUAUAGUUUAAUUUCAGUGCUUAACGCUGUUGUGCUAUAGAAACUGUUUUACUAGAGUGAGAUAGAGGCAAGCGGAAUUCCAUGUGUAGCGGUAAAAUGCGUAAAUAUAUGGAGGAACACCAGAGGCGUAGGCGGCUUGCUGGGUCUUUACUGACGCUGAGGCACGAAAGCGUGGGGAGCAAACAGGAUUAGAUACCCUGGUAGUCCACGCCGUAAACGAUGAGUACUAAGUGUCGGGUAAAACUGGUACUGAAGUUAACACAUUAAGUACUCCGCCUGAGUAGUACGUACGCAAGUAUGAAACUUAAAGGAAUUGACGGGACUCCGCACAAGCGGUGGAUCAUGUUGUUUAAUUCGAAGAUACACGAAAAACCUUACCAGGUCUUGACAUUUUCUUGCGAAGUUAUAG
rnacentral:rRNA from 1 species